rnacentral:tRNA from 1 species
GUUCUGUGGUUUAGUUGGUCAAAACGCCGGUCUAGUGAAUACGGAGUCGUGGGUUCUAAUCCCACCAGAGGCA